rnacentral:rRNA from 1 species
CGGCGCUGCCUACCAUGCAAGUCGAACGGUAACAGGCCUUCGGGCGCUGACGAGUGGCGGACGGGUGAGUAAUGCAUAGGAAUUUGCCUUGAAGUGGGGGAUAGCCCGGAGAAAUCCGGAUUAAUACCGCAUAUGUUCUACGGAACAAAGUGGGCCUCUGAUUUAAGCUCAUGCUUUGAGAUAAGCCUAUGUCGGAUUAGCUAGUUGGUAGGGUAAAAGCCUACCAAGGCGACGAUCCGUAGCUGGUUUGAGAGGAUGAUCAGCCACACUGGGACUGAGACACGGCCCAGACUCCUACGGGAGGCAGCAGUGGGGAAUAUUGGACAAUGGGCGCAAGCCUGAUCCAGCAAUGCCGCGUGUGUGAAGAAGGCCUGCGGGUUGUAAAGCACUUUUAUCGGGAAAGAAAUCCUUGGAGCUAAUACCUUCAAGGCUUGACGGUACCCGAGGAAUAAGCACCGGCUAACUCAGUGCCAGCAGCCGCGGUAAUACUGAGGGUGCGAGCGUUAAUCGGAAUUACUGGGCGUAAAGCGAGUGUAGGCGGCUUCGUAAGUCGGAUGUGAAAGCCCUGGGCUUAACCUGGGAAUGCCAUUCGAUACUGCGCGGCUAGAGUUUGAUAGAGGAAAGUGGAAUUCCAGGUGUAGCGGUGAAAUGCGUAGAUAUCUGGAGGAACAUCAGUGGCGAAGGCGGCUUUCUGGAUCAAAACUGACGCUGAGGCUCGAAAGCGUGGGUAGCAAACAGGAUUAGAUACCCUGGUAGUCCACGCCCUAAACGAUGUCAACUAGACGUUGGGCCCCAUUUAAGGGGUUAGUGUCGAAGCUAA